rnacentral:misc_RNA from 1 species
GAUGAAGAACGUAGCGAAAUGCGAUAAGUAAUGUGAAUUGCAGAAUUCAGUGAAUCAUCGAAUCUUUGAACGCACCUUGCGCCCUUUGGACAUUCCGAAGGGCAUGCCUGUUUGAGUAUCAUGAACACCUCAACUCUCACGGCUUGUCCGUGAUGAGCUUGGACUUUGGGGGUCUUGCCGGCCUGUGGUCGCCUCCUCUCAAAUGGAUCAGCUUGCCAGUGUUUGGUGGCAUCACAGGUGUGAUAACUAUCUGCGCUUGUGGUUUUCCAUCAGAUAACCUUCAGUGAUAUGGAGGUUCGCUGGAGCUCACAAAUGUCUCUCCUUAGUGAGGACAGCUCUUUGAACGUUUGAUCUCAAAUCAGGUAGGACUACCCGCUGAACUUAAGCAUAUCAAUAAGCGGAGGA